CUGGGCAGGUCUGCUGGGGAGACGUUUGCUGGGUGAGCAGUCCUCGUGUGUUCCCUCAGCCAUAUCACAGGGCGACCCGUGAUGCAUUUACAGCAGAACUGAUCUUGUUGGGCAAAUAUCAUUACCGAGGGCAGAGGCAGAGGUUUAUUGGCGGCUGGCGCGUGCUUCAAAGAUUUCGUGAAUCAGAAUCUCUGAGAUGGGUGGAGAUGAAACGGGCUUGCCUGGUGUGAAAGAUCCAGGACAUUCAGGGCUUAUUGCUUACAGAGUGCUUUCACAAGCACUGUUCAUUGGAUGCUCACAACAGUCUUGAGAGUUGUGGGUCCUUCUGGCUGUGGCAUGUGGGACGCUGCCUCAGCGCGGCCACUGAGCGGCACCAUGUUCUCGCUGAGGACUCGAACCGGCGAAACCCCGGGCCGCCUGCAGCGGAGCCCAGGAACUUAACCACUCGGCCACAGGGCCGGCGCCAGAGUUAAAUUUUUUAUAAUAUUACUACUAUUGUCUUUUAAUAAAAGUAUAAUUUGCUUAUUUCAACAUU
rnacentral:lncRNA from 1 species